UCUCUUUUCCUUUCUCUUUUCUCUUCUCCUUCCGUCUCCUUCCGUUCGCAGCCAGCAACCGCCGCCCCUUCUUCUCUUUUCUUCCUCUUUCGUUCGACGUCGACGAUCAGACCAAGCCGAAAACGAAAACCCAUCCCUCUUUUCUUCUUCGGAUCUAACCGCCGCGCCCAUCCGCCUGUAACCGUCGUGCCUCUCCGCUCACAACCGUCGUGCCUCCCUCGGAAAGCAAAUCGUCGUCCAGAUCUGCAUUGCCGAGCCGUCCAGGUCCUCGCCGCCGCUCGUGCUUCACCUUGUAGUUCGCCGUAACCCAGAUCCAUCGCUGUCCGAUCUCUUCUCCUCGUCCCGCCGUCGCCGCUGCACUCGCCUGAAGUCAUCGUCCGUCCUGUUUCGCGAAGCUCCGCCGCUCCACCUGUUAUCGACGCCGGCCGACUAGCUACUAUUAAAAAAAAAAAAUCCAAAACCCUUCUGCCUUCGUUUGCAAAACGUCGCGGCGUGAAUUCUGCCUUCUAAUCGUGGAUUUGACCUCCAAGUUGUGAUACUGAAGAGGUCGUGCUUAGAUAUCUAAGUUCCAACGUGAGCUUCAUUGGAAUUGUUGCUUCAUUCUACUUGGAAUUUGUCUUAUUGAAUUUAGCCCGAUUGAAAAACUUACAUAACCUUGAGGUAAGGGAUUUUCUACUGGACUCACCUAAAGUUUUUGAGUUGUGUUGGACUGUAUGGAUGAUGAUUAAGAUGUACAUGUUUGAUUGCAGACUAAAUGUUUAGUGUAUGUUGUAUUUGACUGGAAACAUAUAUAUAUACAUUGAUGUGUGAAUUGAUGUGGAUUGCCGAAAGUAUACAUGUGAAUGACUGAAAUUAUGCUUAUGUGUACAUGAUGAUAUUAAUAGAUUGUGCUGUAUAAAGAUUGGAUGUGAA